rnacentral:lncRNA from 1 species
ACCUGAUUGAACCAAAUUCAAUCAGACUUGAUCUAGACUUUAAUGCUCAAUAAAAUUGAGCUAAUUAGUAAUCUAAUCAUUAAUUAAUCUUUUAUUAAUGAUAAAGUCUAAGUCUAAUGGGACUCUUCUCAAGAGUUCCCAUCCAGUGGGACUCUUCAGCAGAGUCCCCGUCAAGUGGGAUUCUUCACCAGAGUCUCCGUUGACUGAGACUCUUCAGAAUAGCCAAG